rnacentral:lncRNA from 1 species
GGGAUUAAACACCCUGGAUAUUAUAUUUAUUUGGUACUGUAUCAGAUGAAAAGUGUGAAAUACAAAUAGAGAUACUUGGCACUAUUCCUUUUUAGUAUCAGGCCCAGGGUCUGUAUUAGCAGCAGCAGGGUUGGGGGGAUUAUAGGAGGAUGGGGUUGUAGAAACUCCGUUAUUGGCAGUUGAGGGCGAAGCUUUAGCUGCAGCCCCAUU